rnacentral:rRNA from 1 species
AUACGGAGGGUGCGAGCGUUAAUCGGAAUUACUGGGCGUAAAGCGUACGUAGGCGGUUGGUUAAGUUAGAUGUGAAAGCCCCGGGCUUAACCUGGGAACUGCAUUUAAAACUGGCGAACUAGAGUUGAGUAGAGGGGAGUGGAAUUUCAGGUGUAGCGGUGAAAUGCGUAGAGAUCUGAAGGAACACCAAUGGCGAAGGCGACUCCCUGGACUCGAACUGACGCUGAGGUACGAAAGCGUGGGUAGCAAACGGGAUUAGAAACCCUAGUAGUCC